rnacentral:misc_RNA from 1 species
CAAAGGCUUUUUGGUGUUCCUCU